ACCUUUGUGGUGUAGUGGUCAGCACCUUCGACGCAUAACCGAGAGGUCCGUGGUUCGAUUCCCGGCGAAGGCG
rnacentral:tRNA from 1 species